rnacentral:rRNA from 1 species
AUUGAACGCUGGCGGCAGGCCUAACACAUGCAAGUCGAACGGUAACAGGAAGAAGCUUGCUUCUUUGCUGACGAGUGGCGGACGGGUGAGUAAUGUCUGGGAAACUGCCUGAUGGAGGGGGAUAACUACUGGAAACGGUAGCUAAUACCGCAUAACGUCGCAAGACCAAAGAGGGGGACCUUCGGGCCUCUUGCCAUCGGAUGUGCCCAGAUGGGAUUAGCUAGUAGGUGGGGUAACGGCUCACCUAGGCGACGAUCCCUAGCUGGUCUGAGAGGAUGACCAGCCACACUAGAACUGAGACACGGUCCAGACUCCUACGGGAGGCAGCAGUGGGGAAUAUUGCACAAUGGGCGCAAGCCUGAUGCAGCCAUGCCGCGUGUAUGAAGAAGGCCUUCGGGUUGUAAAGUACUUUCAGCGGGGAGGAAGGGAGUAAAGUUAAUACCUUUGCUCAUUGACGUUACCCGCAGAAGAAGCACCGGCUAACUCCGUG